rnacentral:snoRNA from 1 species
UGGGUGGAUGAUGACCACCGGUGGCGUCUGAGUCAGGGAUGGCGACUGUGUCUGGAACACGGAGGCCCAC